rnacentral:rRNA from 1 species
UNUGACUUGAGUGCAGAAGGGGAGAGUGGAAUUCCAUGUGUAGCGGUGAAAUGCGUAGAUAUAUGGAGGAACACCAGUGGCGAAAGCGGCUCUCUGGUCUGUCACUGACGCUGAGGCUCGAAAGCGUGGGUAGCGAACAGGAUUAGAUACCCUGGUAGUCCACGCCGUAAACGAUGGGUGCUAGGUGUUAGGCCCUUUCCGGGGCUUAGUGCCGGAGCUAACGCAAUAAGCACUCCGCCUGGGGAGUACGACCGCAAGGUUGAAACUCAAAGGAAUUGACGGGGGCCCGCACAAGCGGUGGAGCAUGUGGUUUAAUUCGAAGCAACGCGAAGAACCUUACCAGGUCUUGACAUCCCGAUGCUAUUCUUAGAGAUAGGAAGUUACUUCGGUACAUCGGAGACAGGUGGUGCAUGGUUGUCGUCAGCUCGUGUCGUGAGAUGUUGGGUUAAGUCCCGCAACGAGCGCAACCCUUAUUGUUAGUUGCCAUCAUUAAGUUGGGCACUCUAGCGAGACUGCCGGUAAUAAACCGGAGGAAGGUGGGGAUGACGUCAAAUCAUCAUGCCCCUUAUGACCUGGGCUACACACGUGCUACAAUGGUCGGUACAACGAGUUGCGAGCCGGUGACGGCAAGCUAAUCUCUGAAAGCCGAUCUCAGUUCGGAUUGGAGGCUGCAACUCGCCUCCAUGAAGUCGGAAUCGCUAGUAAUCGCGGAUCAGCACGCCGCGGCGAAUACGUUCCCGGGCCUUGUACACACCGCCCGUCACACCACGAGAGUUUGUAACACCCGAAGUCGGUGAGGUAACCUUCUA